rnacentral:lncRNA from 1 species
UCUCCUUCAGCUGCGUCAGGGUGUGCUCCAUCGUGUACUCCCGUUGCCAGCUAGACAGCAUCUGGAACUUCUUCCCUUCAACCUGCAUGCAUGCCCAUCAGUUCAAAUGCAUACCACAAAAAAGGCAGCCUAUCACGGAAAACUGUGGAGCUGCAACUUAUCACAGCAAUAGGAAAGGCAUUGAACAGAAAGUCCAGUGUAACAAGAUGAAAUUGACUGAUCUUGCAACUACAGUGUUUAUUCUGCAUGUUCACAGUUAUAACAGGUAACAAAUUCAAAGUAUUUUAGUCAGAAAACAGGUAAUUACAGUCAUAGAAAAGGUUUCCAGGUCCAGAUACUACAAGCAAAAAUUAUGAUGAAGAACCAAACUGGACUUGCUUAACAGAACAUAGAACACAGAUAAAGAGUCGCUAUCUCAUUCUACUCACAACAAGACACCAUUGAUCUAACUAUGAUUAACCACAAAAGGUAGAACAGCCUUCAUGAUAUGCAAAAGCGUAGAACAGCCUGUUGACACCUUGUAACCACAUUUUUCAUAUCGAGUCCCCUCGUCUUAGGGCCAAAGGCAGUUCUUUUUAUUAAAUUUCAAAGCAGCAUGGACAUGCUGAACCUUUCACCUUUAACUUGUUCUGGAGCUCUCUCCAUCAAGUUAAAUUGUUGCCUAUUACUGGCAUCCAAAAUAACAGCAAUUCAGAUUCUCUUGCUCAUGUUAAGAAACUAUGUGCACAACUAAACUUGUUCUGAGCAUCAGUAAGCAAGCACUAGGUUAGUUUUAUCUAAUCCCUCUAGUGCCGAGCAAAUGAAAUCCCACAUUUUCUUUGUACCACUAAUUUCUGAUGAACCAAACACAGUUUGUAUACAGCAGCCAUAUCAACAAUUCGUUCCAGUGGAUUCAGAAUGUCCAAAUCAAGCCCUGAAUCAUGUAGCCUCCAACAGACUCUGAAGCGAUGCAGGGUAUAGGUCUGCUGUUAAGGAUUUCCAAAGUGAUCCAACCCCAAAACAUCACUUAAACCCAAAAGAUCGG